UACGUAGGGUCCGAGCGUUGUCCGGAAUUACUGGGCGUAAAGCGCGCGCAGGCGGCCCGCGAGGUGUCACGUGAAAGCCCCGGGCUCAACCCGGGAGGGUCGUGGCAAACCGGCGGGCUUGAGGCCGGUAGAGGUGGGUGGAACUCCUGGUGGAGUGGUGAAAUGCGUAGAGAUCAGGAAGAACACCAGUGGCGAAGGCGGCUCACUGGCCCGGUACUGACGCUGAGGUGCGAAAGCGUGGGGAGCAAACAGG
rnacentral:rRNA from 1 species